CACUUCUGGCAAACAACAUAGGAGCCAUUCGACCCUUCCCCAUUGUUGGUGGACAUUUGAGAAACUCUCUUGGCUAUUGAUUUGAAUGGAUUUUCGAAGGAGAAACAAAUUAAUCUCUGGAUGGUUGAAGCUUACGGCCUUCAAUUCUCAUAGCUCUAGUGAAAUUUUAGCGUGAAGAGGUUUCCAUGGAGCUUACCCUAAGCUUAUUCUACGGGUCACUACCUCCAACUACUCAACCCAACAUUGGCAGAGAAAAAAAAAUGGAAAAAUCUUGAGCCAUUGCUGCUGAAGAUUUAAGGUUCUAUAAAUUCUUUAUUUUCUGAGUUUUAGUUUUGAGUUCAUCUGUUUUGUGAGCUAUGGUUAUGAGUUUUGAAAUUCUGUAAACUUUUGAAUUUGUAGUUUGGGUUUGGGUUAAGAUGGUUGGAGUAGAUGGGAAUUCAAUGUGUUUUGAAUUUAGUUCCUUUAGCUCUCAUUCAACCAUCCCUAACCUCCAUUUUUUUAGCCGUGAGUUGAAAGAUGAAGAGGAACCAAAGAUUCGGGGAAAACAGAACUUAUGGAUUUAACAUCCAAUAUUUCGAUGAAAUUCUAGCAUAUGACGUUGCCAUUAAUUUCGUAUGAGCCUCUUCUUUAUGUCCCCAUCACCAGUUUGGUGAUUUGCUGACCAUUAGCUGAACCCACAAGUUGCAACAAUUGGGUUAUCCUUUUUCCUUCUUGUUUA
rnacentral:misc_RNA from 1 species